rnacentral:rRNA from 1 species
UGGGGAAUUUUGGACAAUGGGCGAAAGCCUGAUCCAGCAAUGCCGCGUGUGUGAAGAAGGCCUUCGGGUUGUAAAGCACUUUUGUCCGGAAAGAAAUCCUUGGCUCUAAUACAGUCGGGGGAUGACGGUACCGGAAGAAUAAGCACCGGCUAACUACGUGCCAGCAGCCGCGGUAAUACGUAGGGUGCAAGCGUUAAUCGGAAUUACUGGGCGUAAAGCGUGCGCAGGCGGUUUGCUAAGACCGAUGUGAAAUCCCCGGGCUCAACCUGGGAACUGCAUUGGUGACUGGCAGGCUAGAGUAUGGCAGAGGGGGGUUAGAAUUCCACGUGUAGCAGUGAAAUGCGUAGAGAUGUGGAGGAAUACCGAUGGCGAAGGCAGCCCCCUGGGCCAAUACUGACGCUCAUGCACGAAAGCGUGGGGAGCAAACAGGAUUAGAUACCCUGGUAGUCCACGCCCUAAACGAUGUCAACUAGUUGUUGGGGAUUCAUUCCUUAGUAACGUAGCUAACGCGUGAAGUUGACCGCCUGGGGAGUACGGUCGCAAGAUU